GGUUAAAAAGCUCGUAGUUGGAUUUCUGUCUGGGAUGGUCGGUCCGCACUUUGUGCGUGCAUCUGAUGCGUCCUCGGCAUCCUUCUGAAGGACAUUGUACUUUAUUGUAUGAUGGAUUUCAGAACUUUUACUUUGAGGAAAUUAGAGUGUUCACAGCAAGCAAGCGCUUUGAAUACAUUAGCAUGGAAUAAUAAUAUAGGACCUUCAGUACUAUUUUGUUGGUUUCUAGAGCUGAGGUAAUGAUUAAUAGGGACAGUUGGGGGCAUUCGUAUUAACGCGUCAGAGGUGGAAUUCUUGGAUUGCGUUACGACGAACUACUGCGAAAGCAUUUGCCAAGGAUGUUUUCAUUGAUCAAGAACGAAAGUAUGGGGAUCGAAGACGAUUAGAUACCGUCGUAGUCUAUACCAUAAACUAUGCCGACUAGAGAUUGGAGGUCGUUUUUUUAUGACUCCUUCAGCACCUUAUGAGAAAUCAAAGUCUUUGGGUUCCGGGGGGAGCAUGGUCGCAAGGCUGAAACUUAAAGGAAUUGACGGAAGGGCACCACCAGGAGUGGAGCCUGCGGCUUAAUUUGACUCAACACGGGAAAACUUACCAGGUCCAGACAUAGUAAGGAUUGACAGAUUGAUAGCUCUU
rnacentral:rRNA from 1 species